UGGGGAAUAUUGGACAAUGGGCGCAAGCCUGAUCCAGCAAUGCCGCGUGUGUGAAGAAGGCCUUCGGGUUGUAAAGCACUUUUAUCAGGAGCGAAACGCUGUCGGCUAAUACCCGGCGGAACUGACGGUACCUGAGGAAUAAGCACCGGCUAACUUCGUGCCAGCAGCCGCGGUAAUACGAAGGGUGCAAGCGUUAAUCGGAAUUACUGGGCGUAAAGCGUGCGUAGGCGGUUUCUUAAGUCUGCUGUGAAAUCCCCGGGCUCAACCUGGGAAUGGCAGUGGAUACUGGGAGGCUAGAGUGUGUCAGAGGGUGGUGGAAUUCCCGGUGUAGCGGUGAAAUGCGUAGAGAUCGGGAGGAGCAUCAGUGGCGAAGGCGGCCACCUGGGACAACACUGACGCUGAGGCACGAAAGCGUGGGGAGCAAACAGGAUUAGAUACCCUGGUAGUCCACGCCCUAAAGCGAUGCGAACUGGAUGUUGGUCUCAACUCGGAGAUCAGUGUCGAAGCUAACGCGUUAAGUUCGCCGCCUGGGGAGUACGGUCGCAAGACUGAAACUCAAAUGAAUUGACGGGGUCAUAGCUGUUCC
rnacentral:rRNA from 1 species